rnacentral:rRNA from 1 species
GACGAACGCUGGCGGCGUGCUUAACACAUGCAAGUCGAACGGAAAGGCCCUGCCUUUGUGGGGUGCUCGAGUGGCGAACGGGUGAGUAACACGUGAGUAACCUGCCCCUGACUUUGGGAUAACUUCAGGAAACUGGGGCUAAUACCGGAUAGGAGCUCCUGCUGCAUGGUGGGGGUUGGAAAGUUUCGGCGGUUGGGGAUGGACUCGCGGCUUAUCAGCUUGUUGGUGGGGUAGUGGCUUACCAAGGCGGGGACGGGUAGCCGGCCUGAGGGGAGGACCGGCCACAACGGGAGGAAGAUACGGCGCAGACUCCUACGGGAGGAAGCAGUGGGGAAUAUUGCAGAAUGGGCGGAGGACGGAUGCAGCAGCGCCGCGUGCGGGAUGACGGCGUUCGGGGUGUAAAACGCUUUCGCCUGUGACGAAGAGUGAGUGAGGGUAAGGGGUAAAGAAGCACCGGCUCACCACG